GGCUUUGCUGAAGAUCACAGGAAAGAAGUACUGGCAAUUUCUCAUGACACUCUCCAGCAUUUCCGCCUUUGUGACUGGCUCCCUGGCUCGAUACUUGAGGAGCAGAAAAUGAACCAACUCAGCCACCUUCCUACUGAGUGCUGCCUGGAAGCCAGACUCCAGAGCUUAAUCUCGCCAUUUUGCUGGCCUGAGAAACUCUCAUAUCAAGAACUCACAUCCCUGAUACGGUACAGAAAGCCAUGAGGAAACCCACAUCUGACCAUAGAUGCCCAGGUCCUCCCGGGAAGAACAACGAGAGAUGUCCAAAUUCAUUGGAGUCCAUGUGUCCUGGGGUUGAUUUGGGAAGCAGAGCACAGCAGCCCAAAUUUGCUCGUAAUGUUGGCGGCUACAGGUUCCCAAGACAACCCAGAAGGGAAAAGGGACCCGCCAAGGAAGUUCCAGGAACAAAAGCCUCUCCCUAAAAGACCACCACUUCAAAAAUCCCUGAGGAAUGGAGUGGGCCACCACUAUCCAGCCACUCUGACCAGCCAAAUGAGGAACUCAAUCAAAAUGAGCCACAGCAGGACCACAAGGGCAAGGAGACUUCCACUGUCUCCAGCGUCUCCUUGGGCAGCCAGUAAUUCCCCGGGCAAUUCCACAGACUUGAAGUCUAUCUGAAAAGUCUCCAGAGGUCUAACCCCAGAUAAGUAGCCAACAGGGUGUAGAGUACAUUUUGCACCCCACAGGGUAUGCCCCAUGGUGAUGGAAAUAAAAUGAACAUGUAGUAAAAUGAUGUGUGUGUCUGUGUGUCUCAAAUGGUGGGGGUAAGGAGUAAGGGGGAAGAGG
rnacentral:lncRNA from 10 species